UCGGGUUGUCAUGCCAAUGGCACUGCCCGGUAGCUAAAUGCGGAAGAGAUAAGUGCUGAAAGCAUCUAAGCACGAAACUUGCCCCGAGAUGAGUUCUCCCUGACUCCUUGAGAGUCCUGAAGGAACGUUGAAGACGACGACGUUGAUAGGCCGGGUGUGUAAGCGCAGCGAUGCGUUGAGCUAACCGGUACUAAUGAACCGUGAGGCUUAACCUUACAACGCCGAAGCUGUU
rnacentral:rRNA from 1 species